rnacentral:tRNA from 1 species
GCGGAUGUUGCAUAUUGGUAGUGCCUCUGCCUUCCAAGCAGAAGGGGUGAGUUCGAUUCUCAUCAUCCGCUCUA